rnacentral:rRNA from 1 species
GACGUAGGGUCCGAGCGUUGUCCGGAGUUACUGGGCGUAAAGGGCGCGUAGGCGGUUUCUUACGUUCCACGUGAAAGCCCCUGGCUCAACCAGGGAGGGUCGUGGGAAACGGGGGAAACUGGAGGCAGCGAGAGGCUGGUGGAAUUCCCGGAGUAGUGGUGAAAUGCGUAGAGAUCGGGAGGAACACCGGUGGCGAAGGC